UACGGAGGGUGCAAGCGUUAAUCGGAAUUACUGGGCGUAAAGCGCACGCAGGCGGUCUGUCAAGUCGGAUGUGAAAUCCCCGGGCUCAACCUGGGAACUGCAUUCGAAACUGGCAGGCUUGAGUCUUGUAGAGGGGGGUAGAAUUCCAGGUGUAGCGGUGAAAUGCGUAGAGAUCUGGAGGAAUACCGGUGGCGAAGGCGGCCCCCUGGACAAAGACUGACGCUCAGGUGCGAAAGCGUGGGGAGCAAACAGG
rnacentral:rRNA from 3 species